GCAAAUUUCUCUGUGAUUUCAAACGUGGCUUUCUUCUAGGAUCUGUAAUUUUGGGGUAGUGUCUAAGUCAAGAUGGAUCCGUGUUCGUGCCAGUAGAUAAAAAAGGCCAUCAGACUCAACCUGACCUACUCCAUGAGUCCCAGUUAUGUAACUGCAGUAAUCAGCCUUGGUAACACACGUAGUAUAUCCUUUGGCUUUGUGUGGAAUGCCAGUCUACAAUUGCAAAAAUCGGGGAUUGGAAAUUCUUCAUGUUCCAUCUGAAAGCACGAUGCAGCUACAGUUGGGAUUCUGUCCUUGGUGAAGGUUAGGACAAAAAGAAAACCACCCUAAGAUUAUCCCUAGAACGGCACCUGCAACUGAGUCCCUCUAGAACUACUUGGGGAUUCAAAUUUUGGCAUGCCUGGGUUCCUUUUGGAGCCAAGGAAAAUGUAAUCAUUAGUACUAGUGAGUUGUUUCUCAUUAUCAUUUAUGAAGGGUACCCA
rnacentral:lncRNA from 1 species